GUUGUGAGCUCGAUGAGUAGGGCGGGACACGUGGUAUCCUGUCUGAAUAUGGGGGGACCAUCCUCCAAGGCUAAAUACUCCUGACUGACCGAUAGUGAACCAGUACCGUGAGGGAAAGGCGAAAAGAACCCCGGCGAGGGGAGUGAAAAAGAACCUGAAACCGUGUACGUACAAGCAGUGGGAGCACCCUUCGGGGUGUGACUGCGUACCUUUUGUAUAAUGGGUCAGCGACUUAUAUUCUGUAGCAAGGUUAACCGAAUAGGGGAGCCGGAGGGAAACCGAGUCUUAAUUGGGCGUUAAGUUGCAGGGUAUAGACCCGAAACCCGGUGAUCUAGCCAUGGGCAGGUUGAAGGUUGGGUAACACUAACUGGAGGACCGAACCGACUAAUGUUGAAAAAUUAGCGGAUGACCUGUGGCUGGGGGUGAAAGGCCAAUCAAACCGGGAGAUAGCUGGUUCUCCCCGAAAGCUAUUUAGGUAGCGCCUCGUGAAUUCAUCUCCGGGGGUAGAGCACUGUUUCGGCUAGGGGGCCAUCCCGGCUUACCAACCCGAUGCAAACUGCGAAUACCGGAGAAUGUUAUCACGGGAGACACACGGCGGGUGCUAACGUCCGUCGUGAAGAGGGAAACAACCCAGACCGCCAGCUAAGGUCCCAAAGUCAUGGUUAAGUGGGAAACGAUGUGGGAAGGCCCAGACAGCCAGGAUGUUGGCUUAGAAGCAGCCAUCAUUUAAAGAAAGCGUAAUAGCUCACUGGUCGAGUCGGCCUGCGCGGAAGAUGUAACGGGGCUAAACCAUGCACCGAAGCUGCGGCAGCGACACUGUGUGUUGUUGGGUAGGGGAGCGUUCUGUAAGCCUGUGAAGGUGUGUCGUGAGGCAUGCUGGAGGUAUCAGAAGUGCGAAUGCUGACAUAAGUAACGAUAAAGCGGGUGAAAAGCCCGCUCGCCGGAAGACCAAGGGUUCCUGUCCAACGUUAAUCGGGGCAGGGUGAGUCGACCCCUAAGGCGAGGCCGAAAGGCGUAGUCGAUGGGAAACGGGUUAAUAUUCCCGUACUUGGUGUUACUGCGAAGGGGGGACGGAGAAGGCUAUGUUGGCCGGGCGACGGUUGUCCCGGUUUAAGCGUGUAGGUGUGUGUUCCAGGUAAAUCCGGUUCACUUUAACACUGAGGCGUGACGACGAGGCACUACGGUGCUGAAGCAACAAAUGCCCUGCUUCCAGGAAAAGCCUCUAAGCAUCAGGUAACAUCAAAUCGUACCCCAAACCGACACAGGUGGUCAGGUAGAGAAUACCAAGGCGCUUGAGAGAACUCGGGUGAAGGAACUAGGCAAAAUGGUGCCGUAACUUCGGGAGAAGGCACGCUGACACGUAGGUGAAGUGAUUUACUCAUGGAGCUGAAGUCAGUCGAAGAUACCAGCUGGCUGCAACUGUUUAUUAAAAACACAGCACUGUGCAAACACGAAAGUGGACGUAUACGGUGUGACGCCUGCCCGGUGCCGGAAGGUUAAUUGAUGGGGUCAGCGCAAGCGAAGCUCCUGAUCGAAGCCCCGGUAAACGGCGGCCGUAACUAUAACGGUCCUAAGGUAGCGAAAUUCCUUGUCGGGUAAGUUCCGACCUGCACGAAUGGCGUAAUGAUGGCCAGGCUGUCUCCACCCGAGACUCAGUGAAAUUGAACUCGCUGUGAAGAUGCAGUGUACCCGCGGCAAGACGGAAAGACCCCGUGAACCUUUACUAUAGCUUGACACUGAACAUUGAGCCUUGAUGUGUAGGAUAGGUGGGAGGCUUUGAAGCGUGGACGCCAGUCUGCGUGGAGCCGACCUUGAAAUACCACCCUUUAAUGUUUGAUGUUCUAACGUGGACCCGUGAUCCGGGUUGCGGACAGUGUCUGGUGGGUAGUUUGACUGGGGCGGUCUCCUCCUAAAGAGUAACGGAGGAGCACGAAGGUUGGCUAAUCCUGGUCGGACAUCAGGAGGUUAGUGCAAUGGCAUAAGCCAGCUUGACUGCGAGCGUGACGGCGCGAGCAGGUGCGAAAGCAGGUCAUAGUGAUCCGGUGGUUCUGAAUGGAAGGGCCAUCGCUCAACGGAUAAAAGGUACUCCGGGGAUAACAGGCUGAUACCGCCCAAGAGUUCAUAUCGACGGCGGUGUUUGGCACCUCGAUGUCGGCUCAUCACAUCCUGGGGCUGAAGUAGGUCCCAAGGGUAUGGCUGUUCGCCAUUUAAAGUGGUACGCGAGCUGGGUUUAGAACGUCGUGAGACAGUUCGGUCCCUAUCUGCCGUGGGCGCUGGAGAACUGAGGGGGGCUGCUCCUAGUACGAGAGGACCGGAGUGGACGCAUCACUGGUGUUCGGGUUGUCAUGCCAAUGGCACUGCCCGGUAGCUAAAUGCGGAAGAGAUAAGUGCUGAAAGCAUCUAAGCACGAAACUUGCCCCGAGAUGAGUUCUCCCUGAGACUUAGAGUCUCCUGAAGGAACGUUGAAGACGACGACGUUGAUAGGCCGGGUGUGUAAGCGCAGCGAUGCGUUGAGCUAACCGGUACUAAUGAACCGUGAGGCUUAACCUUACAACGCCGAAG
rnacentral:rRNA from 1 species